AUGAACGCUGGCGGCGUGCCUAAUACAUGCAGGUCGAGCGCACGGACGAGAAGCUUGCUUUUCUGAUGUUAGCGGCGGACGGGUGAGUAACACGUGGAUAACCUACCUAUAAGACUGGGAUAACUUCGGGAAACCGGAGCUAAUAUCGGAUAAUAUUUUGAACCGCAUGGUUCAAAAGUGAAAGACGGUCUUGCUGUCACUUAUAGAUGGAUCCGCGCUGCAUUAGCUAGUUGGUAAGGUAACGGCUUACCAAGGCAACGAUGCAUAGCCGACCUGAGAGGGUGAUCGGCCACACUGGAACUGAGACACGGUCCAGACUCCUACGGGAGGCAGCAGUAGGGAAUCUUCCGCAAUGGGCGAAAGCCUGACGGAGCAACGCCGCGUGAGUGAUGAAGGUCUUCGGAUCGUAAAACUCUGUUAUUAGGGAAGAACAUAUGUGUAAGUAACUGUGCACAUCUUGACGGUACCUAAUCAGAAAGCCACGGCUAACUACGUG
rnacentral:rRNA from 1 species